GACGAACGCUGGCGGCGUGCUUAACACAUGCAAGUCGAACGAAGUGGCGAACGGGUGAGUAACGCGUAAUCAACCUGCCCUUCAGAGGGGGACAACAGUUGGAAACGACUGCUAAUACCGCAUACUGAAGGGGGGGGUUGCGUCUGUUUCGCAAGUUGGAGGGGUAACGGCCUACCAAGGCGAUGAUCAGGAGCCGGUCUGAGAGGAUGAACGGCCACAUUGGGACUGAGACACGGCCCAGACUCCUACGGGAGGCAGCAGUGGGGAAUCUUCCGCAAUGGACGAAAGUCUGACGGAGCAACGCCGCGUGAGUGAUGACGGCCUUCGGGUUGUAAAGCUCUGUUAAUCGGGACGCGGUACCGGAAUAGAAAGCCACGGCUAACUACGUGCCAGCAGCCGCGGUAAUUC
rnacentral:rRNA from 1 species